GUCUAUGACCAUACCACCCUGAACACGCUCGAUCUUGUCUGAUCUCGGAAGUUAAGCAGGGUAGGGCCUGGUUAGUACUUGGAUGGGAGAAAAAUAAUUUUAUCAAGAAUAUAAAUGUUCUUCCCA
rfam:Heterocephalus glaber contig68685, whole genome shotgun sequence.